GACGAACGCUGGCGGCGUGCCUAAUACAUGCAAGUCGAACGCAGUGGGGACGGGUGAGUAACACGUUGGUAACCUCCCAUCAGAGGGGAUAACACUUGGAAACAGGUGCUAAACCGCUACUGAUGGAUGGACUCGCUGUGCAUUAGCUAGUGGGUGAGGUAACGGCUCACCAAGGCCACGAUGCAUAGCGGCCCUGAAAGGGGGAGCGGCCAAACUGGAACGGAGACACGGCCCAGACUCCGACGGGAGGAAGCAGUAGUGAAUCUUCGGCAAUGAACGAAAGUAUGACCGAGCAACGCCGCGUGAGUGAAGAAGGUUUUCGGAUCGUAAAACUCUGUUGUUAGAGAAGCGGUAUCUAACCAGAAAGCAACGGCUAACUACGUGCCAGCAGCCGCGGUAAUAC
rnacentral:rRNA from 1 species